CAAAUUUUUUUGUUGUAAAAGAUUAUUUAUAUGAUUGUAUGCAGAGAUUUAAGUAAUAUGAUGAGAAAAUUACGGAUUUUGUACGACUUUUAAAUUUAUAUUCGUACUUAAAUAGUGCAAUGUAUUGUUAGAUAGAAUUCAAAAGUAUUUAAUGCAGUAUAUGAUUUAUACAUCACAUACAUGUAUAUAGUGCAAUUUAGCCCAAAACUGUAUUAUGACUUGUAAACUGCUGAAUAAAUGCACUGAGAACAUC
rnacentral:misc_RNA from 1 species